UACGUAGGGUGCAAGCGUUGUCCGGAAUUAUUGGGCGUAAAGAGCUCGUAGGCGGUUUGUCGCGUCUGGUGUGAAAAUCCAGGGCUUAACCCUGGACCUGCAUCGGGUACGGGCAGACUAGAGUGCGGUAGGGGAGAUCGGAAUUCCUGGUGUAGCGGUGAAAUGCGCAGAUAUCAGGAAGAACACCCGUGGCUAAGGCGGCUCUCUAGUACGGUACUGACGCUGAGACGCGAAAGCGUGGGGAGCGAACAGG
rnacentral:rRNA from 1 species